rnacentral:rRNA from 1 species
GAUGAACGCUAGCGACAGGCCUAACACAUGCAAGUCGAGGGGCAGCACGAAUCAAGCUUGCUUGAUUUGGUGGCGACCGGCGCACGGGUGCGUAACAGGUGUGCAAUCUGUCCAUAAUCGGGGAAUAGCCCAGCGAAAGUUGGAUUAAUGCUCCAUGUGAGUGAUUGAGGCAUCUCUUUCAUUUGAAACGUAAGGAUUAUGGGUGAGCACGCUUCUGAUUAGGUAGUUGGUGAGGUAACGGCUCACCAAGCCGACGAUCAGUAGGGGUUCUGAGAGGAAGGUCCCCCACAUUGGAACUGAGACACGGUCCAAACUCCUACGGGAGGCAGCAGUGAGGAAUAUUGGUCAAUGGACGGAAGUCUGAACCAGCCAAGUCGCGUGAAGGAUGAAGGUUCUAUGGAUUGUAAACUUCUUUGUCUGAGGGUAAAAAAGCGGACGUGUCCGUUCUUGCAAGUAUCAGACGAAUAAGCAUCGGCUAACUCCG